AUUGAACGCUGGCGGAAUGCUUUACACAUGCAAGUCGAGCGGCAGCACGGGGGCAACCCUGGUGGCGAGCGGCGAACGGGUGAGUAAUACAUCGGAACAUGCCCAGUCGUGGGGGAUAACACUUCGAAAGAAGUGCUAAUACCGCAUACGUCCUGAGGGAGAAAGCGGGGGAUCUUCGGACCUCGCGCGAUUGGAGUGGCCGAUGUCAGAUUAGCUAGUUGGUGGGGUAAAGGCCUACCAAGGCAACGAUCUGUAGCUGGUCUGAGAGGAUGGUCAGCCACACUGGGACUGAGACACGGCCCAGACUCCGACGGGGGGCAGCAGUGGGGAAUUUUGGACAAUGGGGGCAACCCUGAUCCAGCCAUUCCGCGUGAGUGAAGAAGGGCUUCGGGUUGUAAAGCUCUUUCGGCAGGAACGAAACGGCGAGCUCUAACAUAGCUUGCUAAUGACGGUACCUGAAGAAGAAGCACCGGCUAACUACGUGCCAGCCGCCGCCGUAACAC
rnacentral:rRNA from 1 species